rnacentral:tRNA from 1 species
GGAGAUGUGUCCGAGCUGGCUGAAGGAGCACGAUUGGAAAUCGUGUAUAUGUGCAAAAACGCAUAUCCUGGGUUCGAAUCCCAGCAUCUCCGCCA